rnacentral:rRNA from 1 species
AGUGAACGCUGGCGGUAGGCCUAACACAUGCAAGUCGAACGGCAGCACAGUAAGAGCUUGCUCUUACGGGUGGCGAGUGGCGGACGGGUGAGGAAUACAUCGGAAUCUACUUUUUUGUGGGGGAUAACGUAGGGAAACUUACGCUAAUACCGCAUACGACCUACGGGUGAAAGCAGGGGAUCUUCGGACCUUGCGCGAUUGAAUGAGCCGAUGUCGGAUUAGCUAGUUGGCGGGGUAAAGGCCCACCAAGGCGACGAUCCGUAGCUGGUCUGAGAGGAUGAGCAGCCACACUGGAACUGAGACACGGUCCAGACUCCUACGGGAGGCAGCAGUGGGGAAUAUUGGACAAUGGGCGCAAGCCUGAUCCAGCCAUACCGCGUGGGUGAAGAAGGCCUUCGGGUUGUAAAGCCCUUUUGUUGGGAAAGAAAAGCAGCAGGUUAAUACCCCGCUGUUCUGACGGUACCCAAAGAAUAAGCACCGGCUAACUUCGUG